rnacentral:rRNA from 1 species
UACGGAGGGAGCUAGCGUUGCUCGGAAUUACUGGGCGUAAAGCGCACGUAGGCGGCUUUGUAAGUCAGAGGUGAAAGCCUGGAGCUCAACUCCAGAACUGCCUUUGAGACUGCAUCGCUUGAAUCCAGGAGAGGUGAGUGGAAUUCCGAGUGUAGAGGUGAAAUUCGUAGAUAUUCGGAAGAACACCAGUGGCGAAGGCGGCUCACUGGACUGGUAUUGACGCUGAGGUGCGAAAGCGUGGGGAGCAAACAGG